rnacentral:lncRNA from 1 species
AUUUCGGGACCCGGAGCUCCGGCAUAAUUUCCACCACUUUUUGGUCCCAUCAGAUAAUUCAGGUCGAUAUACGGCGCCUCCUAAAAUUUCAGCCCAUUCCGGUGCCGUUUGCUACUUCUUCCGAGUUUUUUUGUGUCCCGGUUUCUCCAUUUUGGACGAUUUUUCAAACUGUUUUUUCCGGCGGCAAAAAAAUUUUUCCCUAACC